UUGAUCAGUCCAGGGCCUUCCCUGCCAAGAUACUGGAUUGGAAGUCUUCCCUCCACUCAGCUGAUGAGACUCGAAGUCUCUUCUUGUGACAGAAUGGUCUAGUUUAGCCUUUUGAAGCGUGAAGUCUCUAAGCACGGCCCCACUCAGAAGUGGAUGACUGCAUCCAAGUCACUGGUGGGGAGAGGAGAAUGGACGACGGACGAUGGAUGAUGGGCGAUGGACACUUCACAGUGGCCAGCGAACAGGUCUUACAAAGCUCAAGCUGGCCUCAAAUUCAUCAUGAAGUCAAGGAUGGCAUUAAACGUCUGCUCUUUCUGCCUCCAAGAACCCCCAGGUACCGGGAUGCCAGGGUGGCUACAUCUCAAACUCUCCUGUCAAGUCAGCGCUUUACCAACAUCUUCCCGGUGCAACCAGGACUAGCUUGAACAAGACCUGCUGCUCUCCCUGCUAGGCUGUCUGGACAAUCCUUCCAGAAGAAUCUCCAUGCCCUUCUGACUGAGCACAAUCUCUUCCCCUCCCUCCCUCCACCACAUAUACAGCUGUGUGAAUAGAAGAGCACAUGGUGACCUAAUCGUGCACUCAGGAUGUUCUCAUACUGUUCACACAACCCUUAAUGCACUUUACGAGCCUUCCUUGCAUCUUUCUCCAUCCUCAGUACAUGAACCACAGAGCAUGGUAGAGCAAUGGCUUCAUGGAACCCACCAGGAGAGCUCCUGACUCAGUGUUGCUAACCUCCCAGGAUUCAGUCCCAUUACAGGCCUCAUGCUAAGCGAUCUCAACGCUGACGUUACACGCAAGAAAGGAGACAAAGAGUGUGGAUGUUCACAUCCAAGUCUCAAAAGCCAGAGGCUAUGGCUGUCUUCUGUAAUCCCACAGCACAGCCCUGCUGUAUCACUGGGAAAUUAUGUGCUGGUGUCUCCCUUCAAAUAAAGUUUUAUUGAAACACAAACAUGUUCACUCAUCCCGUGGGCUUUUU